GCUACGGGAGGCAGCAGUGAGGAAUAUUGGUCAAUGGGCGGAAGCCUGAACCAGCCAAGUCGCGUGAGGGAUUAAGGCCCUAUGGGUCGUAAACCUCUUUUGUCAGGGAGCAAUGGAGUCCACGUGUGGGCGUAUGGAGAGUACCUGAAGAAAAAGCAUCGUCUAACUCCGUGCCAGCAGCCGCGGUAAUACGGAGGAUGCGAGCGUUAUCCGGAUUUAUUGGGUUUAAAGGGUGCGUAGUCGGGACCUUCAGUCAGCGGUAAAAUUGCGGUGCUAAACGACGUAGAGCCGUUGAAACUGUUGGUCUGGAGUAUCGGAGAGGCAGGCGGAAUUCCUAGUGUAGCGGUGAAAUGCGUAGAUAUUAGGAGGAACACCAGUGGCGAAGGCGGCCUGCUGGACGACAACUGACGGUGAGGCGCGAAAGCGUGGGGAGCAAACAGGAUUAGAUACCCCGGUAGUC
rnacentral:rRNA from 1 species